rnacentral:rRNA from 1 species
CACGUAGGGUGCGAGCGUUGUCCGGAAUUAUUGGGCGUAAAGAGCUCGUAGGCGGUGUGUCGCGUCGGCCGUGAAAACCUGCAGCUUAACUGUGGGCUUGCGGUCGAUACGGGCAUCACUGGAGUUCGGCAGGGGAGACUGGAAUUCCUGGUGUGGCAGUGAAAUGCGCAGAUAUCAGGAGGAACACCGGUGGCGAAGGCGGGUCUCUGGGCCGAUACUGACGCUGAGGAGCGAAAGCGUGGGGAGCGAACAGG